GUUGGGUAGGGGAGCGUUCUGUAAGCCUGUGAAGGUGUGCUGUGAGGCAUGCUGGAGGUAUCAGAAGUGCGAAUGCUGACAUAAGUAACGAUAAUGCGGGUGAAAAACCCGCACGCCGGAAGACCAAGGGUUCCUGUCCAACGUUAAUCGGGGCAGGGUGAGUCGACCCCUAAGGCGAGGCAGAAAUGCGUAGUCGAUGGGAAACGGGUUAAUAUUCCCGUACUGGUGAUAAUUGCGAUGGGGGGACGGAGAAGGCUAGGCUAUCCGGGCGACGGUUGUCCCGGUUUAAGGAUGUAGGCAGGUGAAUUAGGCAAAUCCGGUUCACUAUAUGCUGAGGUCCGAYGACGAGUCACUACGGUGAUGAAGUAGCUCAUGCCCCGCUUCCAGGAAAAGCCUCUAAGCUCUAGAUUAUCAUUAAUCGUACCCCAAACCGACACAGGUGGUCAGGUAGAGAAUACUCAGGCGCUUGAGAGAACUCGGGUGAAGGAACUAGGCAAAAUGGUGCCGUAACUUCGGGAGAAGGCACGCUGGCAUUAGGUGAAGUGAUUUACUCAUGGAGCUGAAGCCAGUCGCAGAUACCAGCUGGCUGCAACUGUUUAUUAAAAACACAGCACUGUGCAAACACGAAAGUGGACGUAUACGGUGUGACGCCUGCCCGGUGCUGGAAGGUUAAUUGAUGGGGUUAUCCGUAAGGAGAAGCUCUUGAUCGAAGCCCCAGUAAACGGCGGCCGUAACUAUAACGGUCCUAAGGUAGCGAAAUUCCUUGUCGGGUAAGUUCCGACCUGCACGAAUGGCGUAAUGAUGGCCAGGCUGUCUCCACCCGAGACUCAGUGAAAUUGAACUCGCUGUGAAGAUGCAGUGUACCCGCGGCAAGACGGAAAGACCCCGUGAACCUUUACUAUAGCUUGACACUGAACAUUGAGCCUUGAUGUGUAGGAUAGGUGGGAGGCUUYGAAGCGUGGACGCCAGUCUGCGUGGAGCCAACCUUGAAAUACCACCCUUUAAUGUUUGAUGUUCUAACGUUGCCCCAUUAUCUGGGGUGCGGACAGUGUCUGGUGGGUAGUUUGACUGGGGCGGUCUCCUCCCAAAGAGUAACGGAGGAGCACGAAGGUUGGCUAAGCAUGGUCGGACAUCAUGCGGUUAGUGCAAAGGCAUAAGCCAGCUUGACUGCGAGAGUGACGGCUCGAGCAGGUACGAAAGUAGGUCUUAGUGAUCCGGUGGUUCUGAAUGGAAGGGCCAUCGCUCAACGGAUAAAAGGUACUCCGGGGAUAACAGGCUGAUACCGCCCAAGAGUUCAUAUCGACGGCGGUGUUUGGCACCUCGAUGUCGGCUCAUCACAUCCUGGGGCUGAAGUAGGUCCCAAGGGUACGGCUGUUCGCCGUUUAAAGUGGUACGCGAGCUGGGUUUAGAACGUCGUGAGACAGUUCGGUCCCUAUCUGCCGUGGGCGUUGGAAGAUUGAAAGGGGCUGCUCCUAGUACGAGAGGACCGGAGUGGACGCACCACUGGUGUUCGGGUUGUCAUGCCAAUGGCAUUGCCCGGUAGCUAAGUGCGGAAGAGAUAACCGCUGAAAGCAUCUAAGCGGGAAACUUGCCUUGAGAUGAGUCUUCCCUGAC
rnacentral:rRNA from 1 species